rnacentral:misc_RNA from 1 species
UGCCCUUCUUUUGUUUCAACACCUUCAGAAUCACUUUUCUAUACUAAUUUUUUCUUUUCACUUUCACCUUUAUCACAAUCAAGUACUUCAUUAGCUAAGCACUGAAUACAUCAUAUUUCAAAUUUAAAACAAAGCCAUUGUUCUCCAAUCUUGCUUCAGCAAUAUUAUAAUCACGUGACUCAUAAAUGGAACACAAAUCCUUUUUAAAUACCACAGUGUAUCCCUUCUUUAUCAUUUAUGCAACACUAAGAAGAUUUUGAUCAAGCUUUGGAAUAAGCAAAACUUCAGAAAUGAGCUUCAUACCUUUCUGUGUUUGAAGUGAAAUUGAACCUUCUCUUUUAGCUUAUGCAAUUUCUCUAUUUCCCAUUCUUACUUUAGUCUUGACAGAUCUAUUCAAAAAGUUGAAAAAACUUGCAUCAUUGGCCAUGUGAUUUGUACAGCCACUA